AAUACGUCAGCGGCAGACGGGUGAGUAACGCGUGGGAACGUACCUUUUGGUUCGGAACAACACAGGGAAACUUGUGCUAAUACCGGAUAAGCCCUUACGGGGAAAGAUUUAUCGCCGAAAGAUCGGCCCGCGUCUGAUUAGCUAGUUGGUAGGGUAAUGGCCUACCAAGGCGACGAUCAGUAGCUGGUCUGAGAGGAUGAUCAGCCACAUUGGGACUGAGACACGGCCCAAACUCCUACGGGAGGCAGCAGUGGGGAAUAUUGGACAAUGGGCGCAAGCCUGAUCAGCCAUGCCGCGUGAGUGAUGAAGGCCCUAGGGUUGUAAAGCUCUUUUGUGCGGGAAGAUAAUGACGGUACCGCAAGAAUAAGCCCCGGCUAACUUCGUGCCAGCAGCCGCGGUAAUACGAAGGGGGCUAGCGUUGCUCGGAAUCACUGGGCGUAAAGGGUGCGUAGGCGGGUCUUUAAGUCAGGGGUGAAAUCCUGGAGCUCAACUCCAGAACUGCCUUUGAUACUGAAGAUCUUGAGUUCGGGAGAGGUGAGUGGAACUGCGAGUGUAGAGGUGAAAUUCGUAGAUAUUUGCAAGAACACCAGUGGCGAAG
rnacentral:rRNA from 1 species